AACGAACGCUGGCGGCAGGCUUAACACAUGCAAGUCGAACGGUUGUAGCAAUACAGCAGUGGCAGACGGGUGAGUAACACGUGGGAACCUUCCUAGGGGUACGGAACAACUCAGGGAAACUUGAGCUAAUACCGUAUACGUCCGUGAGGAGAAAGAUUUAUCGCCCUUAGACGGGCCCGCGUCGGAUUAGCUAGUUGGUGGGGUAACGGCCUACCAAGGCGACGAUCCGUAGCUGAUCUUAGAGGAUGAUCAGCCACACUGGGACUGAGACACGGCCCAGACUCCUACGGGAGGCAGCAGUGGGGAAUCUUGGACAAUGGGCGCAAGCCUGAUCCAGCCAUGCCGCGUGAAGUGAAGAAGGUCUUCGGAUUGUAAAGCUCUUUUGCCAGGGACGAUAAAUGACGGUACCUGGAGAAUAAGCCCCGGCAAAACUUCGUGCCAGC
rnacentral:rRNA from 1 species